GACAGUCGCCCCCGGGUCCAAUUUCCAGCAACAGUUGGCGCUAGAGGAAGGGCCCGAGUUGCGACCAUGAGACUGAGAAGCAAGGGAGCUUCCAAUGCCUCCCGACGUCCUCCACCUAGCCCCGGACAUUCUGUCCAGAACUCGCCACCUCCGGCUGACCCAACUCCCCAAGUUCGGCCGGAGCAGUUUGACGCCCUGGUACAGCAGGUUCAGGCUUUGGCCGCUGUUGUCCAAGGCCUGCAGCCCAGGGGCGUCCCGACGAUGCCGCCCCCUCCAGCCCCAGUUCAACCGGCGCCCUCUGCGAGUGAACCACCCCUCCCCGGCCAAGAUCACC
rnacentral:lncRNA from 1 species